ACGCGUUGGGAGCUCUCCCAUAUGGUCGACCUGCAGGCGGCCGCGAAUUCACUAGUGAUUAGAGUUUGAUCGGGGCUCAGAUUGAACGCUGGCGGCAUGCCUAACACAUGCAAGUCGAACGGCAGCACAGUAAAGAUUUCGGUCUUUAUGGGGUGGCGAGUGGCGGACGGGUGAGUAACACGUAGGAAUCUGUCCUGGAGCGUGGGAUAACCCGAGGAAACUCGGGCUAAUACCACAUGAUAUCGAGAGAUCAAAAGCAGGGGACCGAAAGGCCUUGCGCUCUGGGGUGAGCCUACGUCGGAUUAGCUAGUUGGUGGGGUAAAAGCCUACCAAGGCGACGAUCCGUAGCUGGUCUGAGAGGAUGACCAGCCACACUGGGACUGAGACACGGCCCAGACUCCUACGGGAGGCAGCAGUGGGGAAUCUUGGACAAUGGGGGAAACCCUGAUCCAGCGAUGCC
rnacentral:rRNA from 1 species